rnacentral:rRNA from 1 species
AAUCCAGACUCCUACGGGAGGCAGCAGUGGGGGAUAUUGCACAAUGGGGGAAACCCUGAUGCAGCGGCGCCGCGUGAGUGAAGAAGUAUUUCGGUAUGUAAAGCUCUAUCAGCAGGGAAGAAAAUGACAGUACCUGACCAAGAAGCCCCGGCUAACUACGUGCCAGCAGCCGCGGUAAUACGUAGGGGGCAAGCGUUAUCCGGAUUUACUGGGUGUAAAGGGAGCGUAGACGGUUAUGUAAGUCUGGAGUGAAAGCCCGGGGCCCAACCCCGGGACUGCAUUGGGAACUACAGGGCUGGAGUGCCGGAGAGGUAGGCGGAAUUCCUAGUGUAGCGGUGAAAUGCGUAGAUAUUAGGAGGAACACCAGUGGCGAAGGCGGCCUACUGGACGGUGACUGACGCUGAGGCUCGGAAGCGUGGGGAGCAAACAGGAUUAGAUACCCGCGUA